rnacentral:rRNA from 1 species
GAUGAACGCUGGCGGCGUGCCUAAUACAUGCAAGUCGAGCGAACAGACGAGGAGCUUGCUCCUCUGACGUUAGCGGCGGACGGGUGAGUAACACGUGGAUAACCUACCUAUAAGACUGGGAUAACUUCGGGAAACCGGGGCUAAUACCGGAUAAUAUAUUGAACCGCAUGGUUCAAUAGUGAAAGACGGUUUUGCUGUCACUUAUAGAUGGAUCCGCGCCGCAUUAGCUAGUUGGUAAGGUAACGGCUUACCAAGGCAACGAUGCGUAGCCGACCUGAGAGGGUGAUCGGCCACACUGGAACUGAGACACGGUCCAGACUCCUACGGGAGGCAGCAGUAGGGAAUCUUCCGCAAUGGGCGAAAGCCUGACGGAGCACCGCCGAGUGAGUGAUGAAGGUCUUCGGCUCGUAAAACUCUGUUAUUAGGGAAGAACAAAUGUGUAAGUAACUAUGCACGUCUUGACGGUACCUAAUCAGAAAGCCACGGCUAACUACGUG